rnacentral:rRNA from 1 species
UAGGGAAUCUUCGGCAAUGGACGGAAGUCUGACCGAGCAACGCCGCGUGAGUGAAGAAGGUUUUCGGAUCGUAAAGCUCUGUUGUCAGAGAAGAACGUUGGUAGGAGUGGAAAAUCUAUCAAGUGACGGUAACUAACCAGAAAGGGACGGCUAACUACGUGCCAGCAGCCGCGGUAAUACGUAGGUCCCGAGCGUUGUCCGGAUUUAUUGGGCGUAAAGCGAGCGCAGGCGGUUCUUUAAGUCUGAAGUUAAAGGCAGUGGCUUAACCAUUGUACGCUUUGGAAACUGGAGUACUUGAGUGCAGAAGGGGAGAGUGGAAUUCCAUGUGUAGCGGUGAAAUGCGUAGAUAUAUGGAGGAACACCGGUGGCGAAAGCGGCUCUCUGGUCUGUAACUGACGCUGAGGCUCGAAAGCGUGGGGAGCAAACAGG